rnacentral:rRNA from 1 species
GACGAACGCUGGCGGCGUGCCUAAUACAUGCAAGUAGAACGCUGAAGGAGGAGCUUGCUUCUCUGGAUGAGUUGCGAACGGGUGAGUAACGCGUAGGUAACCUGCCUGGUAGCGGGGGAUAACUAUUGGAAACGAUAGCUAAUACCGCAUAAUAGCAGUUAUUGCAUGAUAACUGUUUGAAAGGUGCAAUUGCACCACUACCAGAUGGACCUGCGUUGUAUUAGCUAGUUGGUGGGGUAACGGCUCACCAAGGCGACGAUACAUAGCCGACAUGAGAGGGUGAGUGGCCAGACUGGGACUGAGACACGGCCCAGACUCCUACGGGAAGCAGCAGUACGGAAUCGUCGGCAAUGGGCGGAAGUCUGACCGCGCAACGCCGCGUGAGUGAAGAAGGUUUUCGGAUCGUAAAGCUCUGUUGUAAGAUAAGAACGAGUGUGAGAGUGUAAAGUUCACACUGUGACGGUAACUUACCAGAAAGGGACGGCUAACUACGUG